AACGAACGCUGGCGGCAUGCCUAACACAUGCAAGUCGAACGAGACCUUCGGGUCUAGUGGCGCACGGGUGCGUAACACGUGGGAAUCUGCCCUUUGCUUCGGAAUAACAGUUAGAAAUGACUGCUAAUACCGGAUGAUGUCGAAAGACCAAAGAUUUAUCGGCAAAGGAUGAGCCCGCGUAGGAUUAGGUAGUUGGUGGGGUAAAGGCCUACCAAGCCGACGAUCCUUAGCUGGUCUGAGAGGAUGAUCAGCCACACUGGGACUGAGACACGGCCCAGACUCCUACGGGAGGCAGCAGUGGGGAAUAUUGGACAAUGGGCGAAAGCCUGAUCCAGCAAUGCCGCGUGAGUGAUGAAGGCCUUAGGGUUGUAAAGCUCUUUUACCAGGGAUGAUAAUGACAGUACCUGGAGAAUAAGCACCGGCUAACUCCGUG
rnacentral:rRNA from 1 species